GGGCGAUUAACUCAGCGGCUAGAGUGCUACCUUCACACGGUAGAAGUCGCCAGUUCAAAUCUGGCAUCGCCCA
rnacentral:tRNA from 1 species